AUGGGCUCCGACGACUCCGCCCCGGCUCUCGCGCCUCCUGUGCAUGUCGGCUUCACCAUGGAGCAGGCACAGGCGCACUUCAAUGCUGCCAUGGCGGAGGUGCAGCCGACGCCUUUGUCGGCGUUCCAUCAAGUGCAGGAGGAACAACGGUACAACUUAUUCCUCUUGGAGCAGUACCGGCUAGUGGAGGGACAGAUCUACGGCGAGCGCGCGAGCGAGGAGGCCAUGGCAGCCAUGGCCGCGGUGAACCCAAAUUUUAUCGCGGAGCAGCGUACCAUCUAUGAUGUCGUCUGUGCUCAAGUUGUCGCUCACCAGGAAGCAGCGACCGCGGAGGAGAAUAACGCCAGCUACGCCUCCUGCGCGCCGCCGACGAACCAUCACGACGGGCAUGGCAAUCACCGAUUCCAGAUACGGAGCAUCGCCGCCAUCGACGGCAAGUUCUACUUCGACGUGACCUCCUCGAAGCUCGGCGUCCUCGACUUCCUCCCGGGCCCGGCGUUCACCAUGAUGGAGACCAACGGAGCGAAGGUCGCAUGGGAUUCCUGGGAGCUGGCGUUCCCUCAUCUGGUGGAGUCCCGCGGGGGACUCUACCUGUUCGUCAUCACUCAUAAUGCUCUGGCCGGCAUCGCUCUCUACCAGAUGGAUUUCUCGUCGCUUGCGUGGUCCAAGGUGGUGGAUCGCGUCUACGACCGGGUGUUCUUCCUGGGCAGGCUGCAUUCCGCGGCGUCGUAUGCUGCAUGGGAGCUGGGUUUGACGCAGGGUAACGUCUACUAUCUGGGGCCGUAUGAGCUGCUCAACGUUUUCUCUGCCGGAGACAAGCAUCGACCUCGCUCCAACUGCAUACACGGGGGCGAUCUGCCGGCUCCGCUGCAGGGCAUAUACGAUGUGCUUACUAGAGCUUGUGGUGGUUUCAUCAUCGGCGGUAGCUAG
rnacentral:rRNA from 1 species